rnacentral:lncRNA from 1 species
AACUAGAACAUGUAUAAAAAAAUUAUUCAUUUUGAGGUGAAAUAAAUGUAAGAUAUCAAUUUAUUGUGCACAGCACCAUCUUUUUAUAGCCUUGAUUAGGUAUGACAACGUUUCUAAAGCUAAAUACCAAACAGUUUUUUUACCAUCAAAAUUGAAACAAGAUUAACAGAACAACGACUGUGAAUUCACUUAUGUAAUGGGUUACGAUUUAAGUGGAUUGAGCCAGAUUUAAUUUUUUUCAAUAAAUGUAAUUGAUUUCCAAAGUUUUGCAUAUCUAUAAUUUUACCUGGCAAUAUACUAAUGAAAAGUUUACAAUCCCAAACUAAUGAAAAGUCAAAAUAGGUGUCAUUAUUCGUAUUAACAGUUAAUCUGAUAGGUUAUAAUGAUUUCAGAAAUUGAUUUAUGUGUAGAUAGAAUCUGUCAGAAGACAUCUACAUUUUAUCAAUUUAUGGUACUUUAAUAUUUUGCAACAUUCACUGUAGUUUCAUGAUGCGGACAUGUUUCUUCUGUUCUGAUUUAAGAUCAAAGCUGAUUUGUAUAUAUUUCUAAUGUGUAUACGCCCCCACUAGUAAGUAGCACCUCUGAAUUAGCAUAUUUUGUUCCAAGAAGAAAAAUAAAAUUGUAUUCUUUUCCAAUACGGAUAGAACAACCCAAAGGACAAGGUUCACUUAUGGCACAAAAUGGCCUAAAAUAUCAACUUUAUCAUAAAACACGAGAAAGGUCUCAAUCUGGUUUGUAAAUGGGUGUAUUUCAAAAGUCUAAAUGUUAAAUAUAUCAGUUCUUUUCAUAAGAGUACAAAAUUUCUCCAAAAUGAGCCCAUUUUGGACAUUUUGUCAAAAUAUGAUGAUUUUGUCUAUUUUUCAGACCUAAAAGCUUUAAAAAGACCUUGGCCAACCUACGAUCAAAAAUGUGUUGUAAACAAAAGAUUCAACUUUUGAUUGAGAUUUCUUCAAUAUAAAAACUUUUUGGAUCGUAGAUGCAUGGCGGCCAAGGUUAAUUAUGCCAAAAACAAUUAAAAUUAUGGGAAAAAAGUACCAAAAUUGACCUUUCAAUACAAACAAUGGUUAUGUGAGGGAUCAUAGCUCAAUAAAUAGUAAAGGAAAGUGCCAGAAAAAAUAUGUUUGUCUUAAUAGUAUUAUCUCAAGUAUUUCUAUAUGAAAUUUGUAGUUUUUUGCCCGAUUUAAAAAACAUUAAAACAUCAGGGCCAAUUUUAACCCUUCGUGAACCUUCUCCUUUGUCUCUGUCAUUUUUUAACUUGAGAAAAGUUAAGUUAAGUUGGGGUCUUAUAAGUCAUGAUGGAUUAGUGAGAUAGUUUGGAGUUGAUCUUCUUGCUGUAUCCUUUAUUUCUUAUGCCAAUUUUCUACAUCUUAAUUUUUGUUGACAACUAUUAAAUUUUGUACAUAUUAAAACCAUAUUAAUCUCUAUUCUAUGUUGGUUUGUUUCUUUUUCUGUCUUCUUUGUUUUUAAAGACAUUGUAUCUAUUCUGUAACCCAUAUCAAGACCCUCUGCUGACAUGGCUUAAGACAGGAAAC